rnacentral:rRNA from 1 species
GGACGAACGCUGGCGGCACGCCUAACACAUGCAAGUCGAACGGAGAUUGAGAGCUUGCUCUUAAAUCUAGUGGCGGACGGGUGAGUAACACGUGAGCAACCUGCCUCUGAGAGAGGGAUAGCUUCUGGAAACGGAUGGUAAUACCUCAUAACAUUACAUGACCGCAUGAUCGUGUAAUCAAAGAUUUAUCACUCAGAGAUGGGCUCGCGUCUGAUUAGCUAGUUGGUGAGGUAACGGCCCACCAAGGCGACGAUCAGUAGCCGGACUGAGAGGUUGAACGGCCACAUUGGGACUGAGACACGGCCCAGACUCCUACGGGAGGCAGCAGUGAGGGAUAUUGCACAAUGGAGGAAACUUCCUGAUGCAGCGAUGCCGCGUGGAGGAAGAAGGUUUUCGGAUUGUAAACUCCUGUUUCGAGGGACGAUAAUGACGGUACCUCGGGAGGAAGCUCCGGCUAACUACGUGCCAGCCGCCGC